rnacentral:siRNA from 1 species
UCAAAUUUCAGUUUGAGUGACA